rnacentral:rRNA from 1 species
GAUGAACGCUGACAGAAUGCUUAACACAUGCAAGUCUUUGGUGAAGCUGUGCUUGCACCGCCUAGCCAAGGCGGACGGGUGAGUAACGCGUAAGGAACUUGCCCUGCAGUCAGGGAUAACAGACGGAAACGACUGAUAAGACCUGGUAAAGUCAGGCGGACUCAUGUCCAGCCUGAUGAAAAGAGAUGCUGCAGGAGAGCCUUGCGUCCUAUUAGCUUGUUGGUGGGUAACGGCCCACCAAGGCAAUGAUAGGUAGCCGGCCUGAGAGGGUGGACGGCCACAAGGGGACUGAGAUACGGCCCUUACUCCUACGGGAGGCAGCAGUGGGGAAUAUUGGACAAUGGGGGCAACCCUGAUCCAGCAAUUCUGUGUGCACGAUGAAGGUCUUCGGAUUGUAAAGUGCUUUCAGCAGGGAAGAAAAAAAUGACGGUACCUGCAGAAGAAGCGACGGCUAAAUACGUG